AGGAGGAGCUCCAAAGCCAAACCUUACCUGCAGGCAGGGUUAAGGGUUUUUCCUUCAUGAAAAUUCAGAGAGCCCCAAGGCAGUGAGAUUUUCCCGUGGCCUUCCUUGUUUCAUGUGGAACUUGGCCACAGCCAGCCCUCCCUUCUCACGCCACACACGGACAGAGGAGCCAGCUCCCCACAGCCCAGCCUGACCUUCAGGAACACCUUUGUGCUGAACAUGCCCAGGGGAUGAGCCCUGUCUGGGGGUCACCCAGCGCUGGGGUUGUGCCAAGUGCACUCCCUGGCCUGGGUUUGGCCUGUGACAACUCGCUCCCGGGUUGUGGUCAGGCGUGGGUGAGGCUGUUCUGGUGGAGGGGUGAAGAGGUCUCAGCUGUAGGACACUGGCUGGGUCAUGCUGCUUUCCCUCAGUGCUGGCCUGCUGUAAUUACUGGGGCUGUACCCUCAGGUCGGGGCACAGGUUGUUUAAAAUGUCCAACAGGAUAAUUAGUGCAGGUUUUCAGAAGUACUGAGUGCUCAUGAAUGCAGAGAACAGCAGAAUGGGUAAGGCUGGGAGGGACCACGGUGGGACAUCUCCCAAGUGCACCCUGGAGUCACAGAGCUGGUUGAAGGGCUGCCUUCACCUGCUCAAUCCCUCUUUGUGAUGAAGCAAUGGCAGGGUGCUUGGCAACAUCAGGAACCAGCUCUGUCAGCAGUGACCAUCUCCUCAGAGCACAACACAUCCACAAAAACCCCACAGCAACGCACGAGGCAGCUGGGAAAGCAGGGACAGCUUGUUGUGAAAAGCCUUUUUGGGUGUCACUCAGCUUUUCCAGGGCAGUGCUCAAGUCCUGAGGGAGAUGGGGAGAUGCUGAUGCACAUCAAGCCUGAGGUGGAUGAGGACCAUGGCUGUCUUCUGUGUGAUGCUUUACCAGAGAUCUUGGGUGACAUGGGGAUUUCAGUUUUUCUCCCAAGGGAAAAAAAAAAAAAAAUAAUACUAUAGUUUUAAAUGCACUGAAAAUCGAGAAUUUCUUCAGCAGCACAACCCAAAUAUGUGCCCUCAGUAUCUUAUUCCAGUUUCAUACCCUUUAGGCAACUUGUCUACAUACGAACACUAGCAAGGAAAAAUCCUUCAAAAGCGGAGUUUUUUUUCUAUUUUUAUCCACUGAGUGUCCAACUCUUUUUGCUAACUCUCUACAGUUUGGAGCUCAAAUUACCAUUUCUGACCAGUGCAGAGACAAAUGAUGAAAUAUUCAUGAGUUAUUCUUACUCUUCAUCUUACAGAAGCACCAGCCAGCACUAAAUUUGCAUGAUCUAACCAAAGUAGACAUUUCAGAGAAAAGCACUUUCUAUAGCGGCAUUGAAAAACUUCUAUAUAUUGAGGUAAAACCAUCAAGUUUCUGCCCUCCCUGGUGCAGAGUCACAUGUUGUUUGAAGAGCAUCCCACUAAAUUUUCUAAAGAUGUGUAAAUGUGUCAUCUGGACCACAGGAGAUAAAGCAGGGUUAAAACACUGAGCAAAACUGAAGUUAACAAGCACAAGGUUCAUAAACCUUGCAAUAGAAGCUUGCAGAAACCUUUCAAAGCUCAUCCAAUAAAGCCCUAUGGCACUUCA
ensembl:lncRNA